rnacentral:miRNA from 1 species
UGCGUCAUAGGCUUUGGGGAGCAGCGCAUGGGUGGGCGCUCUCCUUGGUGCUUGCGCAAUUAUUGCU